GUUUACCAUCUUCAUGUUUCAUUUCCAAUAGGGCUUUAGUGAUAUUGAACCUUUCAAUUCUUCGAUCUUGUGGGUUGGGGAGAACAAUUGGAGGAGGAGGAGGAAGUGAAGCAUGAUUUCUCGUUCCUCGAUUGAAUCGUGGAAUACCAUCUUCAUGUGGAAUGCUUGUUCCACGGGAUUUGGGAAGACCAUAGUUGUCGAACUUUGACAUCUACAAAACGGGAGAAAAACAAAUUCAAGUUAGUUGAUUGAUUGAGUCCUUAGUAAAUCACCCAAAUGAGAUACUAAGGCUAGGACCCAACACAAUAUUCUACAACUCGGGAGAGGGAUGCCGUAACCCUAAUUGCAGAAUAUUUGAAGGUAAGUGAAUGACGAUUCACUAAUUUCCACCACGAAAAACGAAAAAGAAAUUUAAGUUUUAAAUCUAUGAAAACUCCUAGAUCCUUUGAGAUUCAUUGAACUUUCAAUGGCAUGUUUAAAUCUCGAUAUGCCCCUCUUGUUUGUGACUGGGAUGCCGAGGAUCACAAAGCGGGUGUGAAUAACCAUGCAAACUUACAUGGUGCCCUCACAUGUUACAGUCACCUAUUCGAUGUGCCGGUAAACCACACACGCUCCACCGAACUAUGACAAACAUUGAGUCACCCUUUGCUACCUUUGCUUAGAACCAUUUAGUGUGCCGGUAAACCACACACGCUCCACUAACGUCUUCGCAAGGGCACAAAGUGUAAUUUCAUGGAAUUGCAUCAAUUCACUUUUGCCUAAGUAACUAAGAUUGGGAAUUUUAUGAAAACAUUUAGUUACUUUUAUACUUCAUUAUACUUAUAAUGGAAGGUUUCGUCCUAUCCUACCCGUUCGGCUAACGACCCUCCACUAGUCAAGAGUGCGGUGGGUAAGAGUGGAUACCCAUUCAAUCGCCAUUUUAUAGGCAAUUUCCUUAAACACCCCUUAUAGACCAGCUUCGUGAAUGAGGCCUACUAACGGUAAGACUGACUUUUACUCAUACAUAUAUAUAAUGUUAGACUUUUAAUGUUAUAUAUAGUAUAGGGUGUAUUUUACACUUUUAAAAUACUAGGUGGUCAAAUUUAACAAUUAUACUUUUAAUUCAAUUAAAUUGUAAACCAAAACUUUUAUGGAUUUAUUAAACCUCUUUUAAUUAUACACCUUAAUUAAUUAAUAAAACCAUAAGGGUGUGAUUUGAACUUUUUCAAAACAAUACUAGAGUUUUAGAAUUUAACAUUCCUAAUUAAACUUUUAAUCAACUUUUAAAUUCCAAAACUUGAGGGCAAGUUUUGAAACAUUUCAACACAUUAGGGUUUAGAAUUUAAAUAUACAUCAAAAUUAAACUAUUUAAUCAAAAUUUAAAUUCCAAAACUUGAGGGCAAGUUUUGAAACCUUUUUCAAAACAUUAGGGUUUCAACUAUUUAAAUUUCAAAACAACAAAACUUUUGGGUUCAAAUUUAAACUAUAAAACCUAAAGGGGAAAAUAUGAAACUUUUCAUAACAACAAGGAUCAAAUAACAAAUAAUCUAAAUUAACAUUUAAUCACAUAAUUAUCCAUAUUUGAUUUAUUUAAUGAUUUCUUGCAAAACAAUUUAUCAAUUUAAUCAAAAUAAUUAAUCAAUUAUCACAUAAGGAAACAAUUAUCUUAUUAAUUGAUAAAUAUCUUCAAUUAGAUCAAAAAUAUAGUCAAAUAUAUCAUAUAAUCGGAUUAAUAUUGAUCUAACAUGAUAAGGUAACUAUCCAUAAGCAAAAACAGCAAGAAAUCCCGAAAUACCCUCCAUCUGACGAGUUGACUCGUCGAGUCAGGCUUGGACUCGUCGAGUCUGCAUGGACUCGGCGAGUUCAGCCAUGGACUCGGCGAGUCCAGCCUCCAGAAACCCAAAAAACGAAUUUUCCAGUUAUACAAUGCAUCAAUACAAUUGAAACCAAGCUAGGCUCUGAUACCACUGAUGGGUUUUGGUCAUAAGACAUCCUAUGUGCUCAUACAAACCCUAAUGCUUGGAUCUAGGUUUCUCUAUUGUACAUGCUUUGAAUCCAAGACUAUAAACCCUAAUUCUAGCAUAUGGAAAUCAAUAUUAACAUAUAAUUAGGUUUAAGAUAUUACCUUGAUUGUUAUGUAGCA
rnacentral:lncRNA from 1 species